GACGAACGCUGGCGGCGCGCUUAACACAUGCAAGUCGAACGGGGCACUUCGGUGCUUAGUGGCGAACGGGUGCGUAACACGUGAGCAAUCUGCCUGCGGGUGGGGGAUAACCCGGGGAAACCCGGGCUAAUACCGCACGAUGUCAUCGGAUCGAUUGGCCGGACGAUGAAAGAAGCUUAACGGCUUCGCCUGCAGAGGAGCUCGCGGCGUAUCAGGUAGUUGGUGAGGUAACGGCUCACCAAGCCGACGACGCGUAGCCGAUCUGAGAGGAUGAUCGGCCACAUUGGGACUGAGAUACGGCCCAGACUCCUACGGGAGGCAGCAGUGGGGAAUCUUGCGCAAUGGGCGAAAGCCUGACGCAGCGACGCCGCGUGCGGGAGGAAGCUCUUCGGGGUGUAAACCGCUGUCAGGGGGGAAGAAUGGGCGCGGGAGGAAAUGCCUGCGUUUUGACGGUACCUCCAAAGGAAGCACCGGCUAACUCUGUGCCAGCCGCCGC
rnacentral:rRNA from 1 species